rnacentral:sRNA from 1 species
GAACCCGAUUUCGAUGUUCGCCAUACCUUGAGUUUGUCCUUUCUUAGCAAUCGUCAGGCUGUUCACUUGGAAGCCCGGGAUUUCCAUGAUUGGGGCAUAGAAUCGAGAAUAAAUUACGUCGUCUCCGAUCUUGUAAUUCUCAGUUCCGUACGCUACAAUCCUUGGCCGUAGGAUAUCUUCAAUGUUCUCUGGCAUCGAUCCUGUGUUUGUUACACUGAUCUUGAUCUCGAUUGGAACCUCAACAGGGCGUUGGUAGUUGACUCUAUGGGUAUAGCCCAGACUGUCUACCACCUGAACCUCUGUAUCUCCAACAGAGCCAAUCCCGAAUGGCUUGUUCAGCCAGAUAGACUGUGCAACCUCUGUAGGAAUACCACCAAGAACGAUUGGAAGGAACGAGUGACCCGGGACUCCGUGAACGGGGUCUAGGUUGUCGGUAUCGUUUUCGAUAAUCCUAACAUCCUCGACUCCUUCUACGUUCAUCAGACCGUCGAUCAGGGACUCCAGAAUGUUGGUGGCUUGUACGAAUUUAGAGUUUCGAAAUCUCUCGCGAAGCUCAUCGUCGGUCUCACGCAGACGGCCAGUGAUAGCUGGAACAGGGUUGAUAACGCUGUCCCAUCCGGCAAUAGGAAUGGAGAUCGUAUCGAUAGCUAGAGCUUGCUGAGGCACAGGGCCAAUAACGUCGUCAACAGCGAUACCAAGCUUUCUAACCUUCUGAAUACUCAGGUUGGAGGCUUCUUCGAAAGUCUUGGUGUUGAAUGGGUCAAUAGGUACUAUGAAAAGUAUACCAUUCUGUUCGUAGCUUGUCAAGGUAUUUCCGUGAUUUGUAGCUACGUCUGCGGCCAAUCCUGCUAGGAUGGACUCGGAUGUUACUGUACCAGUGGCAGGGCUUGUAUACUUGAUA